rnacentral:misc_RNA from 1 species
GAUGAAGAACGCAGCGAAAUGCGAUACGUAAUGUGAAUUGCAGAAUUCAGUGAAUCAUCGAAUCUUUGAACGCAUAUUGCGCUCUUUGGUAUUCCGAAGAGCAUGCUUGUUUGAGUAUCAGUAAACACCUCAACCUCUUCUUGAUUUUUCAAAAGGAGGGUGGACUUGAGCUAUCCCAACAACCUUUACCGGUCGGCGGGCGGCUUGAAAUGCAGGUGCAGCUGGACUUUUAUCUGAGCUAAAAGCAUAUCUACUUAGUCCUCGUCAAACAGGAUUAUUACUUUUGCUGCAGCUAACAUAAAGGAUAAUUGUCCUCUUUGCUGACUGAUGCAGGAUUUUACGACACUUUAUGUGUUGUUCAACUCGAUCUCAAAUCAAGUAAGACUACCCGCUGAACUUAAGCAUAUCAAUAAGCGGAGGA